AGUGAACGCUGGCGGUAGGCCUAACACAUGCAAGUCGAACGGCAGAAAAGGAGAGCUUGCUCUCUGGGUGGCGAGUGGCGGACGGGUGAGGAAUACAUCGGAAUCUACCUUGUCGUGGGGGAUAACGUAGGGAAACUUACGCUAAUACCGCAUACGACCUUCGGGUGAAAGUGGGGGACCGCAAGGCCUCACGCGAUUAGAUGAGCCGAUGUCGGAUUAGCUAGUUGGCGGGGUAAAAGCCCACCAAGGCGACGAUCCGUAGCUGGUCUGAGAGGAUGAUCAGCCACACUGGAACUGAGACACGGUCCAGACUCCUACGGGAGUCAGCAGUGGGGAAUAUUGGACAAUGGGCGCAAGCCCGAUCCAGCCAUACCGCGUGGGUGAAGAAGGCCUUCGGGUUGUAAAGCCCUUUUGUUGGGAAAGAAAUCUUGCCGGUUAAUACCUGGCGAGGAUGACGGUACCCAAAGAAUAAGCACCGGCUAACUUCGUGCCAGCCGCCGCAGUAAAAC
rnacentral:rRNA from 1 species